GAUGAAUGCUGGCGGCGUGCUUAACACAUGCAAGUCGAACGGGGUCAUAAUGAAACCUAGUGAUUUAUGACUUAGUGGCGGACGGGCGAGUAACGCGUGGAGAACCUGCCCUGCACAGGGGGAUAACACUUAGAAAUAGGUGCUAAGACCGCAUAAGCGCACGGGACCGCAUGGUACUGUGUGAAAAAUGGGCAACCAUGGUGCAGGAUGGCUCCGCGUCUGAUUAGCUGGUUGGUGGGGUAACGGCCCACCAAGGCGACGAUCAGUAGCCGGCCUGAGAGGGUGACCGGCCACAUUGGGACUGAGACACGGCCCAAACUCCUACGGGAGGCAGCAGUGGGGAAUAUUGGACAAUGGGGGAAACCCUGAUCCAGCGACGCCGCGUGAGUGAAGAAGUAUUUCGGUAUGUAAAGCUCUAUCAGCAGGGAAGAAAGAAAUGACGGUACCUGACUAAGAAGCCCCGGCUAACUACGUGCCAGCCGCCGCAGUAA
rnacentral:rRNA from 1 species